AUUGAACGCUGGCGGCAGGCCUAACACAUGCAAGUCGAACGAGUGGCGGACGGGUGAGUAAUGUCUGGGAAACUGCCUGAUGGAGGGGGAUAACUACUGGAAACGGUAGCUAAUACCGCAUACCAUCAGAGGUGCCCAGAUGGGAUUAGCUAGUUGGUGGUGUAACGGCUCACCAAGGCGACGAUCCCUAUCUGGUCUGAGAGGAGGACACGCCACACUGGAAAUGAGACACGGCCCAGACUCCAACGUGAGGCAGCAGUGGGGAAUAUUGCACAAUGGGCGCAAGCCUGAGCAAGCCAUGCCGCGUGUAUGAAGAAGGCCUUCGGGUUGUAAAGUAAUUUCAGCGGGGAGGCGUUACCCGCAGAAGAAGCACCGGCUAACUCCGUGCCAGCAGCCGCGGUAAUUC
rnacentral:rRNA from 1 species